rnacentral:rRNA from 1 species
GACGAACGCUGGCGGCGUGCUUAACACAUGCAAGUCGAACGAUGAAGUUCCUUCGGGAAUGGAUUAGUGGCGAACGGGUGAGAAACACGUGAGAAACCUGCCUUUCAUUUUGGGAUAACUCCGGGAAACCGGAGCUAACACCGAAUACUCCGUCUCGGCGGCAUCGCUGAGCCGGGAAAAAAUUUUGAUGAAAGAUGGUCUCGCGGCCUAUCAGCUAGUUGGUGAGGUAAUGGCUCACCAAGGCGACGACGGGUAGCCGGCCUGAGAGGGCGGCCGGCCACACUGGGACUGAGACACGGCCCAGACUCCUACGGGAGGCAGCGGUGGGGAAUAUUGGGCAAUGGGCGCAAGCCUGACCCAGCGACGCCGCGUGAGGGAUGAAGGCCUUCGGGUUGUAAACCUCUUUCAGUAGGGAAGAAGCGAAAGUGACGGUACCUAAAGAAGAAGCACCGGCUAACUAUGUGCCAGCCGCCGCGGUAA